rnacentral:pre_miRNA from 8 species
AAGUGGAACGUUGACGAGGCUGCUGUUGGGAGACCCUGGUCUGCACUCUGUCUGUAUGCUUACUGAAGGGAGCGCAGGGCAGGGUUUCCCAUACAGAGGGCACAGGCAACCACUGCAUG